rnacentral:rRNA from 1 species
UACGUAGGUGGCGAGCGUUGUCCGGAUUUACUGGGCGUAAAGAGCGCGCAGGCGGUCGUAUAAGUCGAAUGUGAAAGCCCCCGGCUCAACUGGGGAGGGUCACGCGAUACUGAUCGACUCGAAGGCAGGAGAGGGUAGUGGAAUUCCCGGUGUAGUGGUGAAAUGCGUAGAUAUCGGGAGGAACACCAGUGGCGAAGGCGACUACCUGGCCUGUUUCUUGACGCUGAGGCGCGAAAGCUAGGGGAGCAAACGGG